AGCGAACGCUGGCGGCAGGCUUAACACAUGCAAGUCGAGCGGGCAUCUUCGGAUGUCAGCGGCAGACGGGUGAGUAACACGUGGGAACGUACCCUUCGGUUCGGAACAACUCUGGGAAACUGGAGCUAAUACCGGAUACGCCCUUAUGGGGAAAGGUUUACUGCCGAAGGACCGGCCCGCGUCUGAUUAGCUAGUUGGUGGGGUAACGGCCUACCAAGGCGACGAUCAGUAGCUGGUCUGAGAGGAUGAUCAGCCACACUGGGACUGAGACACGGCCCAGACUCCUACGGGAGGCAGCAGUGGGGAAUAUUGGACAAUGGGCGCAAGCCUGAUCCAGCCAUGCCGCGUGAGUGAUGAAGGCCUUAGGGUUGUAAAGCUCUUUUGUCCGGGACGAUAAUGACGGUACCGGAAGAAUAAGCCCCGGCUAACUUCGUG
rnacentral:rRNA from 1 species